rnacentral:rRNA from 1 species
UACGUAGGGGGCAAGCGUUGUCCGGAAUCAUUGGGCGUAAAGCGCGUGUAGGCGGUUCGGUAAGUCCGCUGUGAAAGUCCAGGGCUCAACCCUGGGAUGCCGGUGGAUACUGUCGGGCUAGAGUACGGAAGAGGCGAGUGGAAUUCCUGGUGUAGCGGUGAAAUGCGCAGAUAUCAGGAGGAACACCUAUUGCGAAGGCAGCUCGCUGGGACGUAACUGACGCUGAGACGCGAAAGCGUGGGGAGCAAACAGG